rnacentral:rRNA from 1 species
AACGAACGCUGGCGGCAGGCCUAACACAUGCAAGUCGAACGCCCUGGCGACAGGGAGUGGCAGACGGGUGAGUAACGCGUGGGAACGUGCCUUUCGGUUCGGAAUAACCCAGGGAAACUUGGACUAAUACCGGAUACGUGCGAGAGCAGAAAGAUUUAUCGCCGAAAGAUCGGCCCGCGUCCGAUUAGCUAGUUGGUGAGGUAAAGGCUCACCAAGGCGACGAUCGGUAGCUGGUCUGAGAGGAUGAUCAGCCACACUGGGACUGAGACACGGCCCAGACUCCUACGGGAGGCAGCAGUGGGGAAGUAUUGGACAAUGGGCGCAAGCCUGAUCCAGCCAUGCCGCGUGAGUGAUGAAGGCCC